AUGUUUGACAGCUCCCAAAAUUGCCAAAACUUCACAAGAGCAUCUUUGCAACCCGGUGACACAGGGACAAAGCCCAACUUUCUUUAUGAUGAGCUACAUUUUCAAAGAGGUCCCGACGUCCUUAAAAUAAUACUUGCAGAACUGUUGGAAGCAACAAUAUUUCAGACUUCUUGGAAUGCCUAGAGAAGUACAUCUUUCUCCUUGAGAGAUUUGCUUCAAGCUAAUACUACUUUCUUUCAGUAAACAUAAUGAAGGACAGAGUCAAGAGGAACUUGGUAACUGAUAGAAAACAUCCCA